AGAGUGAACGCUGGCGGCAGGCCUAACACAUGCAAGUCGAACGGCAGCACGGUGGUAGCAAUACCAUGGGUGGCGAGUGGCGGACGGGUGAGGAAUACAUCGGAAUCUACCUCGUCGUGGGGGGAUAACGUAGGGAAACUUACGCUAAUACCGCAUACGAACUAUGGUUGAAAGCGGCGGACCGCAAGGCGUCGCGCGAUUGGAUGAGCCGAUGUCCGAUUAGCUAGUUGGCGGGUAAAGGCCCACCAAGGCGACGAUCGGUAGCUGGUCUGAGAGGAUGAUCAGCCACACUGGAACUGAGACACGGUCCAGACUCCUACGGGAGGCAGCAGUGGGGAAUAUUGGACAAUGGGGGCAACCCUGAUCCAGCCAUGCCGCGUGUGUGAAGAAGGCCGUUCGGUUGUAAAGCUACGUUUUGUUGGGUAAGAAAGCGACGUGGUUAAUUACCGUUGGUACGUCGAUGACCGGUAACCGAAAG
rnacentral:rRNA from 1 species